rnacentral:rRNA from 1 species
GGCUUCGGGGUGAGCGGCAGACGGGUGAGUAACACGUGGGAAUGUACCCAUCCCUACGGAAUAACACAGAGAAAUUUGUGCUAAUACCGUAUACGCCCUUUGGGGGAAAGAUUUAUCGGGGAUGGAUCAGCCCGCGUUGGAUUAGCUAGUUGGUGUGGUAAUGGCGCACCAAGGCGACGAUCCAUAGCUGGUCUGAGAGGAUGAUCAGCCACACUGGGACUGAGACACGGCCCAGACUCCUACGGGAGGCAGCAGUGGGGAAUAUUGGACAAUGGGCGCAAGCCUGAUCCAGCCAUGCCGCGUGAGUGAUGAAGGCCUUAGGGUUGUAAAGCUCUUUCGCACGCGACGAUGAUGACGGUAGCGUGAGAAGAAGCCCCGGCUAACUUCGUGCCAGCAGCCGCGGUAAUACGAAGGGGGCUAGCGUUGUUCGGAAUUACUGGGCGUAAAGGGCGCGUAGGCGGCCUGUUUAGUCAGAAGUGAAAGCCCCGGGCUCAACCUGGGAAUAGCUUUUGAUACUGGCAGGCUUGAGUUCCGGAGAGGAUGGUGGAAUUCCCAGUGUAGAGGUGAAAUUCGUAGAUAUUGGGAAGAACACCGGUGGCGAAGGCGGCCAUCUGGACGGACACUGACGCUGAGGCG